GCAUUAAUGGGGUAGUGGUAACCUGGGUCGUUGCCAUCCAUGAAAGAGUGCUUCUCUCGACCCGCCGGGGGUUCGAUUCCCCCUUAAUGCA